GGAGUUGUAGCUCAGUGGUACAGCACUUGCCUUGCAUGCCUGAGGCACUAUGUUCAAUCCUCAGCACCA
rnacentral:tRNA from 1 species